AGUGAACGCUGGCGGUAGGCCUAACACAUGCAAGUCGAACGGCAGCACAGUAAGAGCUUGCUCUUACGGGUGGCGAGUGGCGGACGGGUGAGGAAUACAUCGGAAUCUACUUUUUCGUGGGGGAUAACGUAGGGAAACUUACGCUAAUACCGCAUACGACCUACGGGUGAAAGCAGGGGGUCUUCGGACCUUGCGCGAUUGAAUGAGCCGAUGUCGGAUUAGCUAGUUGGCGGGGUAAAGGCCCACCAAGGCGACGAUCCGUAGCUGGUCUGAGAGGAUGAUCAGCCACACUGGAACUGAGACACGGUCCAGACUCCUACGGGAGGCAGCAGUGGGGAAUAUUGGACAAUGGGCGCAAGCCUGAUCCAGCCAUACCGCGUGGGUGAAGAAGGCCUUCGGGUUGUAAAGCCCUUUUGUUGGGAAAGAAAAGCAGCAGGUUAAUACCCCGCUGUUCUGACGGUACCCAAAGAAUAAGCACCGACUAACUUCGUG
rnacentral:rRNA from 1 species